AAAUUAUAUCAGUUUCAGCUACAAUAUGUCCAUAAUUAUCCACCUACACAAUGACCAUGUUCUUCCUGCUGGCACUUAUUUUGGUCCGAACAUCCUGUGUUACUUCUUCUUGGGUCCUUUCAAGGUGACAGUCUCUCCGGCAAGCUUUUCACUCUUGUCCUAGCAGGAGCUCUUAUAGAACUACGCCAUCGACUAGCAGAGUCUCCCCCACACAUACCCAAUCCCCCUAUUUCAAAAGAAGGUAUGCCACUGGAGUCAGCGUAUUCAGAUGAUUGUAACUUCAUGAACGUGGAAAAAGAAUCCUGAGAAGCUAUCCUACCAAUAGCUAAGGAAGUCUUCAAGGAGUUUAACCUGUUCAUUAACACAGAGAAAACAGAAUUUACCCAUGUUUUCCUCGCUCCUGUUGGAGAAAAAAGAAGAAAGAAUUUGUUCAAGAUUAUUGUGAAUGAUUUGACCCGUAGAGGUUUAAAACUUAACUCUUUGAAUGAUCUUAAUAAGCUUAAGAUAUUAGCCGAUGAUAGAGUUGCUUGGAGAAACAAAUUUUAAUUCUAGCUGUCUUGAUCUGUACUGAUCACCAUUUUAGGAUGACUUGAUUUCUUUUAGGGGGUUUGAAUAUUUUAAUGGUGUAAACAGUUUCUUAAUAAUAAUAUGUUAUUUCUUCUGUCAGUGAGUUGGUGUUAAAAGAGCCAAACUUUGAAGGAACGUGUGCCAGGUAGAAAACACCAGGUAGAAAAGACCGAACACUCUCCUGAGUCCUGUAAACAGAAAGCAUGGAACUAGUCAAAGUGAGCCCUGUAGCGACGAACCUGUUUCUUCGGAUAGCGAAGUGUAAUGUCGAGUACUUCAUCUGAGAAUGGUUUCCCGUUUUAUAAAGAAAAUAUUACCUUUGAAGCGGUCUCGAACUUCCUACUCUCCCUCCUCUCGUCAGCUAGACAGUGUCCUAUUAUUUCUCUUGUGUUAAUUUUGUGAUAAAUUCUUUCAUGAGACCAUCUGAGUUUUUGUCUUUCUUAGUAGUAGACGCCACCGAGAAUGAAGACUAUUUAGUAGCGGGGUAAUGAAUUUUUGUCUCAUAUAAAUAUAAGUAACAUAGUAGUAGAUAUUUGUUUAUUGAUAUAAUUUGAUCGUGAAUUUUGAUUGUUUGUAUUAUUAUA